rnacentral:rRNA from 1 species
UACGUAGGGUGCAAGCGUUAAUCGGAAUUACUGGGCGUAAAGCGUGCGCAGGCGGUUUUGUAAGCCGGAUGUGAAAUCCCCGGGCUUAACCUGGGAAUGGCAUUUGGGACUGCAAGGCUGGAGUGUGGCAGAGGAGACUGGAAUUCCCGGUGUAGCAGUGAAAUGCGUAGAUAUCGGGAGGAAUACCGAUGGCGAAGGCAGGUCUCUGGGCUGACACUGACGCUCAUGCACGAAAGCGUGGGGAGCAAACAGG